rnacentral:rRNA from 1 species
CCUACGGGUGGCAGCAGUGGGGAAUCUUGGACAAUGGGCGCAAGCCUGAUCCAGCUAUUCCGCGUGUGGGAAGACGGCCUUCGGGUUGUAAACCACUUUUGUAGAGAACGAAAAGUCUAUUGAUAAUACCGAUAGAUGAUGACGGUACUCUAAGAAUAAGCACCGGCUAACUACGUGCCAGCAGCCGCGGUAAUACGUAGGGUGCGAGCGUUAGUCGGAAUUACUGGGCGUAAAGGGGGUGCAGGCGGGUUUGCAAGAUGGAUGUGAAAGCCCCGGGCUUAACCUGGGAAAGCCAUACAUUACUGCAAGACUAGAGUGCGUCAGAGGGGGGUGGAAUUCCAAGUGUAGCAGUGAAAUGCGUAGAUAUUUGGAAGAACACCGAUGGCGAAGGCAGCCCCCUGGAACGCAACUGACGCUCAUACACGAAAGCGUGGGGAGCAAACAGGAUUAGAUACCCUUGUAGUC